rnacentral:rRNA from 1 species
AGCAUAUCAAUAAGCGGAGGAAAGAAACCAACAGGGAUUGCCCUAGUAACGGCGAGUGAAGCGGCAACAGCUCAAAUUUGAAAUCUGGCUCUUUUAGAGUCCGAGUUGUAAUUUGCAGAGGGCGCUUUGGCUUUGGCAGCGGUCCAAGUUCCUUGGAACAGGACGUCACAGAGGGUGAGAAUCCCGUACGUGGUCGCUAGCUAUUGCCGUGUAAAGCCCCUUCGACGAGUCGAGUUGUUUGGGAAUGCAGCUCUAAAUGGGAGGUAAAUUUCUUCUAAAGCUAAAUAUUGGCCAGAGACCGAUAGCGCACAAGUAGAGUGAUCGAAAGAUGAAAAGCACUUUGGAAAGAGAGUCAAACAGCACGUGAAAUUGUUGAAAGGGAAGCGCUUGCAGCCAGACUUGCUUGCAGUUGCUCAUCCGGGCUUUUGCCCGGUGCACUCUUCUGCAGGCAGGCCAGCAUCAGUUUGGGCGGUGGGAUAAAGGUCUCUGUCACGUUCCUUCCUUCGGGUUGGCCAUAUAGGGGAGAUGUCAUACCACCAGCCUGGACUGAGGUCCGCGCAUCUGCUAGGAUGCUGGCGUAAUGGUUGUAAGCGGCCCGUCUUGAAACACGGACCAAGGAGUCUAACAUCUAUGCGAGUGUUUGGGUGUCAAGCCCGAGCGCGUAAUGAAAGUGAACGGAGGUGGGAACCCGCAAGGGUGCACCAUCGACCGAUCCUGAAGUUUACGGAAGGAUUUGAGUAAGAGCAUGGCUGUUGGGACCCGAAAGAUGGUGAACUAUGCUUGAAUAGGGUGAAGCCAGAGGAAACUCUGGUGGAGGCUCGCAGCGGUUCUGACGUGCAAAUCGAUCGUCAAAUUUGGGCAUAGGGGCGAAAGACUAAUCGAACUAUCUAGUAGCUGGUCUGCG